CUGUCGAGUAACUUCUGAGGUAAGUUGAUUAAAUAGCUACCUGUUUUGAAUUGUCAACUGUCUAUAUUGUAUCAUAGGCCCUUUAUGAUGCAUAUACUGAUCUUUUGUUGUAUGUACACAGCGUAAUUAUAUAUAUAUAUAUGUUUUAUCUUGGUAGACCACCGAUUGCCUGCUAGUUUGUUAGCUUGACUUCGCCCUCUGUAAAGGUUGUAUCUGCUGAACCUGGCGGUGUUAGCUAGUCAGCUGAGUACUGUGUAUCUGAUGCUAGUAGAAAUAAGGCGGCUGCUGCUGGAGGCGAUGACUGCUUGAGCUGGCUGGUGUUGGAGAAGGAUGGUGAUGGCGGCUGCUGCUGGUAGCUGCUACUGCUGGUGGCGACUGCUGGUGGCGGCUACUGCUGGCAGCUGCUGCUGGUGGCGGCUGCUGGUAAUGGUGGCUGGUGCUGGCCAUGGCUGCUGGUGGUGUCUGUCCAUUGUUGAAUCUAUUGUUGAAUCUAUUGUCGCCCUAUUUCA